rnacentral:rRNA from 1 species
UACGAGGGGUGCAAGCGUUGCUCGGAAUUAUUGGGCGUAAAGGGUAGGUAGGUGGUCUCAUUUGUCUGGGGUGAAAGCCUUGAGCUUAACUCAAGAAGUGCCCUAGAAACGGUGAGACUGGAGUCUUGGAGAGGGUCGUGGAAUUCCCGGUGUAGCGGUGAAAUGCGUAGAGAUCGGGAGGAACACCAGAGGCGAAGGCGGCGACCUGGACAAGCACUGACACUCAACUACGAAAGCGUGGGUAGCAAACAGG